ACCAUUGCGGCAGCUACACAUGCAGUCGAGCGGUAGCACAGAGAGCUUGCUCUCGGGUGACGAGCGGCGGACGGGUGAGUAAUGUCUGGGAAACUGCCUGAUGGAGGGGGAUAACUACUGGAAACGGUAGCUAAUACCGCAUAACGUCGCAAGACCAAAGUGGGGGACCUUCGGGCCUCAUGCCAUCAGAUGUGCCCAGAUGGGAUUAGCUGGUAGGUGGGGUAACGGCUCACCUAGGCGACGAUCCCUAGCUGGUCUGAGAGGAUGACCAGCCACACUGGAACUGAGACACGGUCCAGACUCCUACGGGAGGCAGCAGUGGGGAAUAUUGCACAAUGGGCGCAAGCCUGAUGCAGCCAUGCCGCGUGUGUGAAGAAGGCCUUCGGGUUGUAAAGCACUUUCAGCGGGGAGGAAGGCGGUGAGGUUAAUAACCUCAUCGAUUGACGUUACCCGCAGAAGAAGCACCGGCUAACUCCGUGCCAGCAGCCGCGGUAAUACGGAGGGUGCAAGCGUUAAUCGGAAUUACUGGGCGUAAAGCGCACGCAGGCGGUCUGUCAAGUCGGAUGUGAAAUCCCCGGGCUCAACCUGGGAACUGCAUUCGAAACUGGCAGGCUAGAGUCUUGUAGAGGGGGGUAGAAUUCCAGGUGUAGCGGUGAAAUGCGUAGAGAUCUGGAGGAAUACCGGUGGCGAAGGCGGCCCCCUGGACAAAGACUGACGCUCAGGUGCGAAAGCGUGGGGAGCAAACAGGAUUAGAUACCCUGGUAGUCCACGCUGUAAACGAUGUCGAUUUGGAGGUUGUGCCCUUGAGGCGUGGCUUCCGGAGCUAACGCGUUAAAUCGACCGCCUGGGGAGUACGGCCGCAAGGUUAAAACUCAAAUGAAUUGACGGGGGCCCGCACAAGCGGUGGAGCAUGUGGUUUAAUUCGAUGCAACGCGAAGAACCUUACCUGGUCUUGACAUCCACAGAACUUUCCAGAGAUGGAUUGGUGCCUUCGGGAACUGUGAGACAGGUGCUGCAUGGCUGUCGUCAGCUCGUGUUGUGAAAUGUUGGGUUAAGUCCCGCAACGAGCGCAACCCUUAUCCUUUGUUGCCAGCGGUUAGGCCGGGAACUCAAAGGAGACUGCCAGUGAUAAACUGGAGGAAGGUGGGGAUGACGUCAAGUCAUCAUGGCCCUUACGACCAGGGCUACACACGUGCUACAAUGGCAUAUACAAAGAGAAGCGACCUCGCGAGAGCAAGCGGACCUCAUAAAGUAUGUCGUAGUCCGGAUUGGAGUCUGCAACUCGACUCCAUGAAGUCGGAAUCGCUAGUAAUCGUAGAUCAGAAUGCUACGGUGAAUACGUUCCCGGGCCUUGUACACACCGCCCGUCACACCAUGGGAGUGGGUUGCAAAAGAAGUAGGUAGCUUAACCUUCGGGAGGGCGCUACCACUUGGAUACGG
rnacentral:rRNA from 1 species